rnacentral:rRNA from 1 species
AGCACUGGGGAAUUUUCCGCAAUGUGGGAAAGCCUGACGGAGCAAUACCGCGUGAGGGGGGAAGGGUCCUGGGGUCUUAACCUUUUUUUUCCGGGGAGAAAAAAUGACGGUAUCCGAGGAAUAAGCAUCGGCUAACUCUGUGCCAGCAGCCGCGGUAAGACGGAGGAUGCAAGCGUUAUCCGGAAUGAUUGGGCGUAAAGCGUCCGCAGGUGGCUGUGUAAGUCUGCUGUCAAAUCCCAGGGCUCAACCUCGUACAAGCAGUGGAAACUACUAAGCUAGAGUGCGGUAGGGGCAGAGGGAAUUCCCGGUGGAGCGGUGAAAUGCGUAGAGAUCAGAAAGAACACCGGCGGCGAAAGCACUCUGCUGGGCCGA